UUUAAUUCGAAGCAACGCGCAGAACCUUACCAGCUUUUGACAUGUCCGGUUUGAUCGGCAGAGAUGCCUUUCUUCAGUUCGGCUGGCCGGAACACAGGUGCUGCAUGGCUGUCGUCAGCUCGUGUCGUGAGAUGUUGGGUUAAGUCCCGCAACGAGCGCAACCCUCGCCCCUAGUUGCCAUCAUUCAGUUGGGAACUCUAGGGGGACUGCCGGUGAUAAGCCGCGAGGAAGGUGGGGAUGACGUCAAGUCCUCAUGGCCCUUACAGGCUGGGCUACACACGUGCUACAAUGGCGGUGACAAUGGGCAGCGAAAGGGCGACCUCGAGCUAAUCCCAAAAAGCCGUCUCAGUUCAGAUUGCACUCUGCAACUCGAGUGCAUGAAGGUGGAAUCGCUAGUAAUCGUGGAUCAGCAUGCCA
rnacentral:rRNA from 1 species